ensembl:lncRNA
UUAGACUGUUGUUAUGGAGUUAUAGUUAUUAGACUGUUGUUAUGAAGGGGUUAUAGUUAUUAGACUGUUGUUAUUGAGUUAUAGUUAUUAGACUGUUGUUAUGAAGGGUUAUAGUUAUUAGACUGUUGGUAUGGAGUUAUAGUUAUUAGACUGUUGUUAUGAAGGGUUAUAGUUAUUAGACUGUUGGGAUGGAGUUAUAGUUAUUAGACUGUUGUUAUGAAGGGUUAUAGUUAUUAGACUGUUGUUAUGAAGGGUUAUAGUUAAGUUAUAGUUAUGCUACUCUCUCUCCAGCUUGUUUGCACCACACCAACUCAUUACCGCGGGCUAAACCUUCUGUUAGGGUGGGUGUGUGUGUGUUUGUUUGUGCUCACAUAUGUGUGUGUCCGUGUGUGUGUGUGUGUGUGUGUGUG